rnacentral:snRNA from 1 species
UCUCUAAGCUAUUGGCAAAGAGA